rnacentral:rRNA from 1 species
UACGUAGGGUGCAAGCGUUGUCCGGAAUUAUUGGGCGUAAAGAGCUCGUAGGCGGUUUGUCGCGUCUGCUGUGAAAACUCGAGGCUCAACCUCGAGACGCCGAUGGAAACCAUGUGGCUAGAGUCCGGAAGAGGAGAGUGGAAUUCCUGGUGUAGCGGUGAAAUGCGCAGAUAUCAGGAAGAACACCCGUGGCUAAGGCGGCUCUCUAGUACGGUACUGACGCUGAGACGCGAAAGCGUGGGGAGCGAACAGG